GACGAAGGUGGCAAGCGUUAUUCGGAUUUACUGGGCCUAAAGCGCGCGUAGGCGGCUUGGCAAGUCGGGGGUGAAAGCCCGCAGCUCAACUGCGGAACUGCCUUCGAUACUGCCGGGCUUGAGGGCGGGAGGGGUGAUUGGAACUCCAGUUGUAGCGGUGAAAUGCGUAGAUAUCUGGAGGAACACCGGAGGCGAAGGCGAAUCACUGGACCGCUUCUGACGCUGAGGCGCGACAGCGUGGGGAGCAAACAGG
rnacentral:rRNA from 1 species